rnacentral:rRNA from 1 species
GGCGCGUGCCUAACACAUGCAAGUCAAGGGGAAAGCCUGGUUUCGGCUGGGUAAGUAUACUGGCGACGGGUGAGUAACGCGUAGGCAACCUGCCCUUACGAGAGGGAUAACCCGCCGAAAGGCGGACUAAUACCUUAUAAUGCAUUGUAUUCGCAUGGUUAUGAUGUUAAAGAUUGCUAUUUAUAGCAAGUACGUAAGGAUGGGCCUGCGUUCCAUUAGUUAGUUGGUGAGGUAACGGCUCACCAAGGCGACGAUGGAUAGCUGGUUUGAGAGAGUGAUCAGCCACACUGGGACUGAGAUACGGCCCAGACUCCUACGGGAGGCAGCAGUGAGGAAUAUUGCGCAAUGGAGGCAACUCUGACGCAGCAACGCCGCGUGGGGGAUGAAUCUCUAUGGAGUGUAAACCCCUGUAAGCAGGGACGAAAGGUAAUUAUUCGAACAGGGUAGUUAUUUGACGGUACCUGCAGAGUAAGCUCCGGCUAACUCCGUG